AACAGCACUUUUCAUUCAUAGUUGAAAGAACCUCAGUGUCCCGCUGUCAGCUCUGAAAAUAGGCUGUAGUAAAAUAGAAUUACAUACUAAGUGCAAUUAAGAACAAACCAGCCAACUUGGUGCAAAGUUUCAGCUUUUUUUUAGGAAAGCAAGACUUCUUUUGAACCAUUUGCUUUAAAAUUCUAAUGUUAUUGUAAAAAUAUUUACUUUAGUAACUCAAAAGGUGCUGUUUAUUUUAUAACAUAGUUGAAUACAUUUUCCUUCAUCAAUAGUUCUCUUUAUAGUUGUAUAAAUAUCAGCUUGUGUGUAUGCCGUUACUUUUAUGGUACUUAAAAUGAAAGUGAAGGAAAGCACUGUAAUUGGGGUCAGAUAAUUUUAUUACGAAAUGCAUGCUGUAGUUUAGUGCAUACAUUAAAACAUCAUACACUAGGUUUAAAUUUCUAAUUUCAUUUUUGUCUGAAAUCAGAGAAAUUUUAUCUAGACUAUCAAGCCUAAAGAAAACAAAAACAAAUACAAAAAUACAAAAACUCGCACUAUAACAAAUCUCAUGUAUUCCUUUAUAGUGGAGAGAAUUGCUUUGCAAAGGAGUCCGGGUCCCACUGGAAGGACCCCUUUCCAUACACCGUAGCAAUUCCGUAGCAGCCUCGACUCUCCCCUCGACGGACGGCAGAUGGCGCUGCGCUUCUCUUUUUGCCGCCUCGAUGACGGGACAGGAACCCAACUUUGGCAGAGCUGAGUUGAAGAUUGCUAGCGACCUAUUCGGAACUGGAGAUGAAGAAACCACAUCCAGAAAACAUCAACUUUCAGAGAGAAGACAGGGACAAGGAUUCUUAAAUCCAUUCUUGUGCUGCUCCUGUACAGAAGAAUGUGGCGGCAACAGGGUGAGAUAACUCCGUAGAAUUAGUAUUCCACCCUUCCUUCCUUCCUUCCUUCCUUCCCUUCCUUCCUUCCUUCCUCCCU
rnacentral:lncRNA from 1 species